rnacentral:rRNA from 1 species
CCUGUCCCAGUUCGGACUGGAGUCUGCAACCCGACUCCACGAAGUUGGAUUCGCUAGUAAUCGCGCAUCAGCCAUGGCGCGGUGAAUACGUUCCCGGGCCUUGUACACACCGCCCGUCAAGCCAUGGGAGCCGGGGGCGCCUGAAGUCCGGGACCGCGAGGACCGGCCUAGGGCGAAACUGGUAACUGGGGCUAAGUCGUAACAAGGUAAC